UUUGGGUGAAGCAGAAGUCCUACAUUUCUGUUUUAUUUCCCAGAAUAGUGCAGAUGUUUGGGGGAAGCAGUGGCUGUGGGAAAAUGGCUUUCUUAUGAACUAUGGCAAAGAAAUAGCUGAAAUCAUGAUGAGUGGAUCCUCCUUUACCCUGCUUUCUAGGUCAGCCUCUGAAGACCCACCCUGGGAAGAGAUGAUUGGUUUUAGGAAAAUACAAAAUUCAAGGGAGAUCCUGAUUACAAGGGAGAAGAUCACAUUUCAGGGGUCUGUUCCUGCUCCUGGACAUCAAGGAGGACAGAAGAGGAAGAACUACUGGAGCAAAAAACACGUCAAUCUUUUCAACAUAAUUUGGAACGGCAGGGGGAGGGUACAAGAGAGAUCCUAAUCUUAAUAUAUAUUAGGUGCUCACAUACAACGGCAGUGGGUGUGGACAGGAAAGCUCAAUAGCCAGCUAGAUGGUAGAUUAGGCAGCUUGUUUGUCUUGAGAUGGUUAGCUGAAAAAGGGCAGGAGAGAAGCAAGGAGGGGCUGGAGUAGAGCGGUGUGAGGUGAGCAGUGGAAAGAGAAGUUCAAGCAAGGUGCAGAGAAGAAAGACUGAAAAAGGGACCAGGAUGGGGAGGGAGGACAGAAACGGGAUGCAGGAAAAAUAACUAAAUAAAUAGAAAGUAUGUGAAGAUGAAAGCCAUGGGAAUUAACCUGGCUCCUAUUAAAGCAGACAGCAUUGCUCUUUGGAGACAGUAGGUUUAGCUGAUAGGGAGAUUUUGAAAUAGGGCAGAAGGAAAAAAAGAAGGACUGAUAGACAAAAGAUAGGCAAAAAGAAAAAAAAAAAGGAGAAGGAAUAGGCUAAAAUGGAAUUUUAAAAAAAAAGUGUUAAAAAUGAAUACUGGAAAGCAUGCUUCAUUUGUAGCAAAUAUAGUGGAAAAGGGUGGGGAGACUGAAAUGAGAGCAAAGAAAAAUGCAUGAGAUCAUUUUGUUAUUUCAGAGUCCUGGCUGUCAAACUGAGGCCUUGAGAAAAGCCUGUGGCACAUGUGAAGAUGUACAGGGGAUAAAAUUGUUAUAAAUUAUAAAACAUGUGAUUUUAUGCCCAUUAGAUGUGACUUCACUUUCCUCUGAAGUGUUCUACUCCUAAAGCAAAGCAGGCUGGUAGAGUGUGUUGGGAGGCUGGGUAGGAAAGAUGAAGAGCAGCAAGGAACAGGGCUGUGACCGCAUGGUUUUCUACGGGUCUUUGUCUCAGCCUUGACUUACUAAGGAAAUAAAAGCUUCAGCUGAAGCUCUUCCUGAAGCUGGGAGGUUACGAGGUCCAUCCCCACCAUGUUUAUUCUGGCAUGUGGGCUCUCUGCUGGCAGAACGUGACCUGACGUGAACGUGACACAGCCCUGGAAAUGCCAGCUCCAUCAUCAAACUUGGCUGACCAGGGCUGAUGGAUUCAAAAAUCACUGAGGGAGACCCAGGCACUCACGCACACCCAGAGCAAAAUCAGGCGGUCUAUUUUUCUGUGUAAGAAGUGUAAGCGAGACCCAUGCCUGGGAGCAAUCUGCUGGUUUUACUCCGGUUGCUCAUCCCCUCCUCCAGGGCAAGAUCGAUAAUGCUCAAGUGGGAAAGCGUCGGCUCCGACUCUCUGCAGUCAUACAGCGAGUCCCAGAGGGGAACACUUGGCUGGGCUGGCCAGGCUGCUGAAACAGCCCCAGACGGGCUGCUGGGGUGAGAAUUACCACCCCACCUCACAGCCCUGCACUGACUGGCAACACAGCUCGCGUCCCUGCAGAAGGAAACCUGCCACGACACGGGGGUGCUCGUGCUGAAUCGGGGCACUUUUCCAUCAGCUUUCUGUUCCUCUUUGUGCAUUUUCAUGGCAGGAGCAGGUGCUGGUGAAAUUAUCUUAUUUUUCCGCUCAGUGCUGUAGCAGGCAGCGAUGGGAGUGGUUUAUGCUGUUUUGCUGUCGGAGCUCCCCGUGCUCGACCUGGGGCUUAAAGUGUAUCCCCAACAGGAAAAGGGAAUCUUGCAAAGAUAGGAUCCAAAGCUUUAACAAGCCCAGUAUGUUUGUGACAACAUGUUUUGAAGAAGGAAGUACAAGCAGAUAAAUAUAUAAUAUUACAUAUGCUUCUUAGAAACUUGGUGUAACGCUGAGAACAUUCGGUACCUACGUCGUGUUAACAAACUUCCCAAAGCAAAUUCCAAAACCUCCAUUCCUGGUGGUGCCCCCAGCCCCACCGGGUGGGACCGACCCCUCCGGGUGCAGGCUGUGAGCGUGGCAAGGGACAGCUGUGCUGGCUCCUCAGGGCUUGGAUCCCAGGCGUGGACAGCUUGCGGGAGAAAAACAUCAGGUCUUUUCUGAAGUUGUGAAAUAAAGAUGCAUAGGGUUUUCGGCCACAGCCGUUGACAGUUUUAGAUCCCUUGGUUAUUUUUUCCUAGCCCGUUGCAGCAGUAUAUGCGGCACAAA